UACGUAGGUGGCAAGCGUUGUCCGGAUUUACUGGGCGUAAAGAGCGCGCAGGCGGUCGGAUAAGUCGAAUGUGAAAGCCCCCGGCUCAACUGGGGAGGGUCAUUCGAUACUGUUCGACUCGAAGGCAGGAGAGGGAAGUGGAAUUCCCGGUGUAGUGGUGAAAUGCGUAGAUAUCGUAAGGAAGGCCGGUGGCGAAAGCGAGCCUCUGGACAGUUACUGACGCUGAUGCA
rnacentral:rRNA from 1 species